GCCAACGUAGCUCAGCUGGUAGAGCAGCUCACUCGUAAUGAGCAGGUCGUGGGUUCGAGUCCCACCGUUGGCU
rnacentral:tRNA from 1 species